ensembl:lncRNA
UGUAAUAAUAAUUUUUUAAAACCCUCAUGGAAAUCAAAUUAUAAUUCAGAUGACGAUGGGGGAAUGAGCUAUUUGGAAAAGCUUAGCGUGCCCCUGCCUUUGAAGGAAACAAAAUGUUACCUAAAUGGUAAGUAUUUUAAUUUUUCACUUUAGCACAUCCAGUUGGCUUAUAAUAAGGGCUUACGGCCAGUGAAUUCAUGCCCUGCUCCAAAUCUGCACUGGGGUGCAUUUCAUCUCAAAACAAAAUCCCAGAGUCUAUACCUCAUUACACUUUUCUCCUGAUAAUUCAUGAAGAUGCGGUCAGGAUAAUAUGAACUCCCUACAUCAACAACCCAACUACCUCCCUGUGGUAGAUUAUCUGCAAAAAUGGCCUCCCACCAUCCUUCCUAUCCCUGAAACACAUGCCAUUCCUCCCACCAAGAGGUGGAACCUAUUUCGCAUUUCCUUGGAACUGGGCUGGCCUCAUGAUUCUCUUCACCCAAUAAAAUGCAGCUAAAGUGAUGCUGUGGGCCUUCUGGGCCUACACCUUAAGAGACUUGGCAGAUUCUGCUUUUGCCUUCUUGGGAUUUGGCCACCAUGUAAAAAAGCUUGGGCUAGAUUGUUGAACGAUGAAAGACAGAAAGAGCAGGUCAGUCCAUCCACUGUUGUUCCAUCUUUUCCUAGCUCAGGCCCCAGACAUGUGAAUGAGGCCAUCUUGUCUCCUCCGGCUCUAGUUAAGACCCUUCCCCAGCCCCUAGCCAGCACCACAUGGAGCAGAGAUGAGCCAACCAUACCAAGCCCUGGUUAACUUGCAGAAUUAUGAGCAACUAAGUGGUUGUAGUUAUUUUAAGCCACUAACUUGUGGGGUAGUUUAUUAUAUAGCCAUAGAUAACUAAAACAGACAAGAAACCUGAAGCACAAAAGGCCACUACAGCUAGUUACAUGGCAAAACUAGGAUUUGAACCCAGGCAACCCAGCAUCAGAAGCCACCCCUUUAACCACUAUUCUAUGUUGAGGGCUUGGAUGUAAACAAAGAGCGAAGCAGAAUGACAAGGUAGAUCAAAACCACAGACUAAGAGGCAGGUACAAAUAAAGGAAGGGAAGACAAUAAACAAAACAAAAAAAGAUCAGGCCAGGGAUCCGAGGUAAUGGAGUCAAGAAAAGGAUAUAGGAAACAGCAUUGUUUUCAACAUGUACUUUUGCUGUUUAACCCCUGUCUGAGGCAGGACACAUUUACCUUGAUCUUCCUGCACACAUACUAUCCCCUAUGAGUCCUGCAGGAAAGACAGCAGUUAAGAGCUUGAACUCUGCAUUAGGUAUCUCCAGUCUCAACCCCCUUCAUCUUAGUUCUGUGCUCCUUGUCCUAUCACAUAACAUCUCUGAGCCUUAGUCUACCCAUCUGUAAAAUAGACACAAUAAUUUGGUCUAACUCAUAAUUUGUUGUAAGGAAUAAUUCAAAUAGUAUACUCUUGGUAUAAAUCUCAAUAAAUAAGAGUUAGUUUGAUGGAAAUGUACUCCAUACUGUGGCCCAGAGACCUUCCUCCUUACAUUUUUGGCAUUGUACUUUGUUUGGUUUGGGUUCAAAUCUUCCACAUUCUAUCUCCAAAUCCAGGUGCAGUGUCAGCCACCAGAUGUCUGUCCUCCCACACUGCUGUGGGCUGGUCCCUCCUUAUUCACACACUGCUAAACUGCCAUAGCUGUUGGGCCUAUAAGUUCAGAAAACUAUAUUUUAAGCCCCCAAUUGAUUGCCAAAUCUGAAAUCCCCCUUUCCAACUCGGGAAUCUCGUUUUGUAUCUCUUGCCACAUUAAACAGUAAAUAAAUUACCCCCUGAUCAAGGCAAGAGUUCUUUCAAAAUGUCCUCCCCUUUCCUUUCUUCUUAUCAUCAAUCUUUGUUGCUAGUCAGGUCAUUUUUUUUAAUGACUUCUAAGCUCUCUGCUUCUAUGGGCUUCUGAUACAGUCUGCUCUCUCUCUUAGCCUGUAACGCCCCAGUCCUCCCUCUUUUUUUCCAUUAUCUCAAAUUCCCCAACCACUAGAGUGAUACCAAUAAGCCAACAACUCACUUGGCUGCCAGGCCUCUUCUAAGCACUCAUUAAUUGGGCUGAUUUGAGAGCAACAUGCCUUACCACCAGAUGCAAUUCCUUUCCCUCACUUUUCAUUUUCCAGGCAAGGUGCCUACACCUUGGAGUGGCGGUGAUGGAUUAGUUUUCACUUUAAUUUAUUCCAGCAUGCAUAAAGAAAGAAUGAGGAUCCAAAUUCCCUUGAUUAAUGUACCAAUCCACCCUGAGAGCUUUCAUUUUUGCUUCUAAUCAUGUUUAGAAAGAUUCGCCCAUGGCGUGCAAUAUAUGGUAGGCACCACAUUUCGCUUGAGGCAAUAUUCUUUCCCUGAGUUUCUUCAGGCUCAGUGUGGGGCUUCACCCUCUGAGCUGGGGUGUCUUGAAAACCAUCCCUCGCCUUAGUUCCACCUUGAGUUUUGCAUCCCUGCCUUCUUCUUGGAAUAUCAUGAGAAGCUUGACUUUUAAAAGAAACACAGGAUGCACUCUAAGAGAAGCUGGCCCAAUCAAAUGAGAAUGCCUUACAUUUCCAGCAGGGAGAAACAAUUCCUACAUCAUAAAGCAUCAGUGGCUUCUACCAAAAAUACUGGUAGCAUUUCCAGAGGGUUUCCAUAGAGACAGAAAGGAGAUUUUACUCAGGAAAGGAAAGGGGAAUGAAGUCCAAUGACAUUUACUCACUCCCUGAAAACUUGAAAAACAACAGAUGAAAAGACAAAUCAAAAGUCUCCUCACAAACCUAUUUUCCUUAAAUAAAUGAGAGAGAUGAAGGCCCAGAAAGAGCUAACCCAACCCUGCUAGCUAUUAGAGAAUAACAGGGAGAUUCCAUGAAAGCAUCAGAAAAAAAUGUGAAGAUAUUUUUGUUUCAAAGCCAUUUUUCCAUAUUUUUAUUACAAAGUAUACAAAAAUUAUAGAGUAGGUCUGAGUUUGUGGAGGAAAAAGCUUUCUUUGUUCACAGAAUGCCAGAAGAAUAGAUGAUAAAAAUGUGAGCGUUUUCCUUUCUUUGGGAUUUGGUGCAUUGAAAGUGGGAGGAGCAGAGAGGAAGAGCCAGGCAGAGGCUAGGAAUCUGGUGAUAGAAACAUGGCAGCAUCUGUCUAGUUGAAGACAACUUUGUUAGCAGCAACUUCACACUGGAGACACUCCCCUCACAGGGACUCUUAUGUCCCCCUCACUCCCUUUCUACUGCCCUAGCCACGUGCAAUUCCCCUCCUGCACCAGUGACCUUUUGAUGCUUUGGGAACAUUGUUCAUAUAGUCCCUCUUUUUGAAUUCCCUUCCCUUCUGACUACUUUCUCUACCCCUCAGAAUCCUAUUUGUCCUACAUAGCCUGUUCAAAUGCAUUCAGUAUCUCCAUGAAGACUCCUCCGGGGCAUCUAGCUGCAAUUUCUUGUUCCUUCAUUGGAAUCCCAUCAUCAUCAUCACAACUAUCUCUCACUGAAUGCUGGCUUUUGCGUUUUACUUUGUGUUCUGUUAUUCAGCAAACAUGUUAUUCCAGAUAUUUGUCAUGUGAUUAUUACUACUUGUUUGUUUGUGGUGGGUGUGAGGGAUGAAGAGAGAUGAAACUUGUGCUCUCAAGGAAACAUCUAUCAGAAUGUCAUAAUCAUAAUAAAAUAAUAAUUUAGUCAUUGCAGCUACCCCAUGGCUGAUACAUUUACUGCCCACUCAAUCCACAUUUCCCUGUCCUCUUGUUUUAGAGGGGGCUUUGUGGCUAAUUCUGACAAAUGGGCUGUGACCAGAUGUGACAUAUAUCUAUUCCAAGCUGAAGCAUUUAAGAGCUGAGGAAUGAUGAUCCUCAUUUCCCCAGCUCUAUCUCCUUUUCCUGGAAGCCGUGCAUUGAAGUGGCAAUGUCACAAGAUUGAGGUGACCUAGUUCACUGCUAAGACAGUGGAUGGACAGUUGUUGCCCUGGGGAGCCACGUGACUCACAGUAGACUUUAUAUAAAUGAGAAAUAAACCUUUGUUGGGUUGAGCACCUGAGUUUCGGGGGCAUUUGUUAGUGCAGCACGGCCUAUCCAAAUGAAUGCAUACCUAAGAGACAAGUGUUCUUAUCAUCCUUGUUUCUAAAGGAGAAAACCAAUGCACGGAGAGGAAAGCCAUUUGCAUGAGGUGGGAACAGAACCACAUUCACUCAUUUGCAUGAUCAGAUCAAAACGAGACCAAAAUAGCCAAUUGGAAAAAUGGAAAGCUAGCCAAAAAACUGAUUACUGAGAGAAAACCACAUUCACUAAUAUGGAGACUGUAUUUACUAUUAAGCUAAGCCUAAAUGACACCCAAAAAAAUCAUAGAAGAAGGGAAAACGAAAUCUUUCAUAGAGAUACAUUGAUUCGCUAGGUUGCCUCUCUCUCAAUUUUUUUCUUUAAUCAUUAGGCUUUUUGCAUGUAUUCCAUGCACAUGCUAUCUUAGCCUGUAUAUUGUGUCAUGCUAGUAAAACUACUAGAUUUUAUAUAAGAACAUUUAUUGAUUGAAACAUUCAUUCAUUAUACAUUGAUUAAGUGUCCAUAAUAUGCUGAGCACGCUGAUAGCCACAGUUUGGCAAUGAAAAACACAAGCAUGAUCUCUACCCUCAUAGAGCUUACUUACUUUAGUAAGUUUAGGAGAGAAAAGAGAAGGUUAUCAGAUAAACACAGGAAUGGGUGUGUAAUUGAAGACAAUGAUCAAUGCUUUGAAGAAAGGGAAUGUAGUUCCACGAGAAUACGUAACUACAGAACCUUACGUUCACUGGGCCCAGCAAAGUGUUCCUUGAGGAUAUGGAACCUGAAGAAAGAUCUAGAAGACAAGUCAGAAUUUAAUAUGGAGUCAGAGUGGGAAAAGAGGAGAGCAUUGUAGACAGAAGGAACAGGAAGGAUAAAGGCUCAAUGCCAGGAAAGAGCAGUUUGAGGAACUGAGAGAAAGUCAAUGUAUCGAAGAUUAGAGUAUUUACAAAGAGAUUAUUGAAAGAUGAGACUCAAAAGAUAGGCAGAGAUCAGAUAAUGGAGGGAAUUUUAGGCCAGACUGGGGCAGUCCUCUACUUGUUUAGCACCCCACUUGUCUUGGGGCACAGAGCUUAAGGAGAGGAUACUAACUCUUCUCUUAAAAUCCUUUCUAUCCUUCUUUCAAUAAAAGAACACUUAUUUUUUUGCUAUGCACAAGGCACCCUGGAAUAAAAUCUACAUUUCCUAGUCCCCUUUACUAGUUAUAACCUUGACACUAAGGGGCUUAUGGGAUAUAAACAAAAAUGGUGUGUGCAACAUUCAGGACGUUUUCUUAAUGAAAGGAGGAGUGCUUUUUGCCAACCCUCACUCCUUUCUCUUUACUGUUGGUUAGAAUACAAAUGUAAUGUCUGGAAGUGAGCAGCCAUCUUGGAUCAUGAGAUGUCUGUGAGAAAGGGAAAUACAUGUGACAGAAAAAUAGGAUAAAAGAAAUCUUGUUCUCUGAUGCCAUACACUAUCAUGCCAUUCCUGGAUGAACUUCCUCUAGCUUCUUCAGGCAUGAGAAAGAAAUUUACUUCUACCUCCUUUAAGCCAAUGCUAUUUGAGGAUUUUUUGGGUUAUUUCCACUGAAAGGUAAUCUAAUUCAGUGCUGAGUAUUAAAUAAAGACUUACUAAUCUCCUCUAAAAUGUUAUUGCACAAUUUAGGAAAUUGGCAUAAUCACAAUUGGAAGAUAAACAUUCCAUCAAGAAUUCUAAGCCAGGAGAAAGUUUAUUAUAUAUUUUGAGUAAACUCUUUGAAAGUAAAAACCAUAUUUUCAGAAGACGAGCUGCAUGACAAGUUAAGAGAUGUGCGUUUAAAAGAGAACCACUUACAAGAAGACAUUCUUCAAAUCACUGGAUAAGUGAGCAAGUCAGUUUCUUUCAAAACUAACUUGUAAUGGGUGGAAAGAAAUAAACAUCUUCCAACAAACUGAGCAAGUCUGCUCAGACCAUGGCAGCUAACAACCAGAGCAGUAGGCAUCUUCUUUUAUUUCUGUCUUUCCAAUGACUAAGACGUUUUGUAAAAAUCAAGCUUCUGUCUCUGUGUAUAACAUGGGACAUGGCUAAUCUGGAAACGAGAAUGGGUGUUGUUCCAAACUCUUUAUUAUUUGCCUUCUAUGCCCUAUGUUUUCCUACCUGAUAAACCCCAUACAGAAAAAAAAGAACAGUACUAGACUUGAGUCAAUGAACCCAGGAAUUCGAUCAGAAGAUUGAACCAUGGAGGAUAGAAAGCACACACACCACUUAACACAAGAACACUGAGUAAGAGACAUUUAGAAGAAUUGCUGCCAGAGUUUUUAGAUAUCAGAAGCCUGGAGCAUUUGAAGCCUCAACCUCUAGACAUUGGGAAGAUGGGCAGCAUGCACACGACAAACACAUUAUUCCUUAACUUCUGAGGAGGUACCAGCAUUAAACUGCUCAGCUAGGCAUGAGCAAAGGUCAAACUUUUCUUCCAUGCCUCCCAAGAAAUAUCCAAGUCUGUAAAAGGUGGAAAUGAUUGUGGGUUAAACAAACUAUUUUGAAAGGCUCAGUGGUCUGGUUUAACGCUGCAUCAAUCAAUAAAAGUAAGAGCAGAAAGAGGCUCAGUGAACACAGAAUCCAACUCAGCACUGACAAUAGAGGAAAUGAUUGCGAUGCAGAGAGAGGAUGUAGUCACACAACUGGAGACUGCAGAGCUGGAGCCUCAGGAGGGCAUUCUGCUGCUCAGCCUUCUCUCCACGGCAUCAUGCCAUGCAGCGGUGCCCCCAGCCACACUGCUUUCAUCUCUUCUACCGGGACUACCCAUUGUGCAACAUCAAGGUGUCCUCAGAAGCUCUGAAAACGAAUGUGAGUGCAAAGUCAUGCUGGCUUCUACUACCACCUUUCCCUGCCUCCUCCUGAACUUUUGGGAACGACUGUGUCCUGAUACUUGCGUGGGCAUGAGCGAUGUGAGAGAAAGAACUGUCACCAUUUACUGGCAGGCUCACAGCGGAGGGAAUGGCUUUGCACGGGCCACAGCCUCCAUGCUUCCUUCACUUAGCAAGUCCUGCCAGAGAAAGAGGAGAGAAAUGGGAUAUCAGACCACUGCUCUUGCUAUCCCCAUUUUGCAGAUGAGAAAACCAAGGAAUAGAGGGACUAAAACACUCCCAGGAUUCAAACCCAGGUCUCCUGAUUUCCAAGCUAGUGCUCUUCCCAUUAUGAUACUCUGCUUCCAAAAAAUCUCAGUAUAAAAUUAUCUAAAAAUUCAGAAAAGUCCCCAAUCCCAACAAAAUAAAACAAGUUUCUCUUACAGGUUGAAUUGUGUCCCCUCAAAAAGAUAUGUUGAAGUCCCAACCCCUAGUAUCUCAGAAUGUGACCUUAUUUGGAAAUAGGGUCCCUGUAGAUGUAAUUAGUUAAGAUGAUGUCAUACUAGAGUGGAGUGGCCCCUAAUCCAAUAUGACUGUUGUCCUCAUAAGAAGGAAGCCAUCUGAACACAGAGACACAAAGGGUGAAUGCCAUGUGACGACAAGGUUUGGAGGGAUGCAUCUAAAAGCUAAGGAUGCUAAAGACUGCCAAGCGAACCACUAGAAGUUAGGAAGAAGCAAGAAGAAUUCUCCCCUACAAGUUUCAGAAGGAGCCUGAAAAAUCCUUCUGGCCCUGUGGGCCUAGCCUCCAGAAGUGUGAGACAAUAAAUAUCUGUUGUUCUAAACCACCCAAUUUGUGGGAGCUUAUUAUGGCAGCCCUAGGGAAUUAAUACAGCUCCCAUGUAGACAAUUCAUAAACAAAGGAAAAGCAUAAACAGUUUGGUGUCUGGUAGAGAGACAAAAGCACCCAUGUGGGAUCACUUGGCCUCAGGCUGCAACUCCAAUUCCUUGUAUGACCUUGGGUAAAUUACUUCCCUUCUCUUUGUCUCCAUUUUAACAGCAAUAAAGUAGAGAUGGUAAUAGUAGCUUCCUUGUAGUUUUAGGUAAAGAUUAAAUGAGGCUAUGCAUGUAAAAACACAUAGCACAUAAUAAGGACUCAAAAACAUUAUCAUCACCAUUAUUAUUAAUUUUUCAAGGCAGAUUUAAACACAAGGAGAGAAAGAACCAGGGACUAAUUCACAAACUUAACAGAACUCUCAAUAAUCAACCUUCUGUUCACAAAUAUUACAAUUUGCCCAAUAAGGUAGCUACUAGACACAUGUGACUAUUUACAUUUAAAUUAAUAAAAUGAAAUGAAAACUUUAAUUUGUCAGGUACACUAGCCACAUUUCAAAUGCUCAACAGCCGCAUGUGGCUAGCGGCUACUAUAUUGGAGCGCAGACUAGAACAUUUCUAGUAUUACAGAAAGUUCAUGUCACCACCCUCGCAGCUUUAAGGCCUAAGGUGGAGACUUUGCAGAGACAGAGGCCAAGAUGUUAAGGGUGUGUUAUUUUCCUCUUGGCUUAUAAAGGAUUUCCAAUGCUGCAUCAGUAAAUGUCCAUUUAAAAAAAUAUCUUUAUCAGCAGUAAACAUAAAGCCUGUUCUUAUCAUAACUUCAAAUAGAAGGCAUAGCUACCAAGACCUUUUCAUCUAUAGUUGGAGAUGUUAGGAGCCAUGAAAUGGAAAGCGUAUUAAUCAUGUCAAUACCAGCAUAAAUAGCUUCCCUAGCAGUGUCCACAAAAAUGGAAAAGGCUUUGGAUUUUAGAAAUAAAAAUUGGUACAAACACAUGUAAACCAAGCCCCAAACUUACUCCAGAUUAAGAGAGGCCAUUCUGGUAUAACAUGUUGACCACACAAAUACAUUUUUAAAGUUUAGCACCUGGGAUAGAUUAAAAACCACAUGGGGAAUUGUGGCCAGAGCAGAGUUUACGAGUCUCCAGUUAGAUGUCACCUAAAAUGCUUUGUUCACUGUUAAUUGGCCUAUCAAGAGGACAUUAUACAAUGAACAGCUCAAGGGACAUCCCAUGAUGUCUCCAAUCUUCACACAAUUUCUGGAAGGGGAAAGAGUAUAAUAAGCAAAUCAUUCUUGUUUCAAUCAAGAGAGGGAAACCAUAGUUCAAGGAAAAGAAAAUCAAAAUAGAGAAAUAAAGUUCAGUUUCCUACUAAUCAGAGAAGACAUUGAUAAGGAUGAUCGAAUUCUUGGACAAAAGUCCAAAACUCUACAGAAGUCACUUAAUCCCAAACAUAAAUGGGGGCAAUAGUGUCAUGGUGCUGCUGAGCAGACGUGUAGAUAAAUUAGAGUUUAGGUCCCUCUGAGCCUUUUAUGGCAGGAGAAAGACCUGACCAAUGGAAGUGAUAAGGCAUAGACAUGUGUUGGAAAUAAACCCAAAAGGGUCAUUGUGGAAGCCCAGUGGCCUUUUCUUGUCCAGCCAUGUCUUAGCUCAUGGACACAUCCCACCAUCAAAUGAGUUCCUAGGAUGACAGAGGAGACCAGCCAUGGGUGCCUGCCACAGUCACUCUGUCAAAAUUUGUCCCGCCUCAGGAAAUGAUCACAUCCCUUCAGUCAGCCACAUCAACUAUUAAGGAUUCUCUAAGUUAUCUUCUCUGUCUCAUAAAUGUCAGUGUGGGAGGUUGGAGGGUCUAGGGAGCAGGCAACAGUAAAUUUCCUCCUGACACCACUAUUCAUAGAGCCUCCCUGAAAAGGAAAAAAAGAGACAAAGCAAUAAGAUUAAUGAAAGAGAAAAUGAUCCACACAAAGGAAGGGGUCAGAGAAAGAACACCUGAAGAAAGAGCCUUUCUUAAGAAGGAGGAGCCCUCUCAAUACAGAUUCACCAUUGCCUCUCUGACAGCUCAGAGAAAUGGCAGUGAGUUCAACUUCAUGGCCACAACCCACCAAAGCUCUGUAUUCCUUUCUUAUUACACCCACGUGUCACCCGGACAGAUACAGUCACCUCCUUUCCUGAGAGGGUUUCUGCACAUGGCAAGGUGGCCUCAAGUCAAAGGCAUGCUGCAGGUAGGGGGACACACAGUACAACUCUUUGAGUUUAUGAGGUCAGAUCCUCAACUGGUCCUACCACCAUUAUAUUACACAGAAGCUAUCCUACCCCUGCUACGUGCACUGUUAAGAAACACAAGCUCUAUAUUGCAUGAUUUGUUUCUGGACACUGCCUCCCUACAUAAAAUGGGUUUGUUCUGCUACCUGAGCAACAUAUUCUAGCCUGUUCAACCAGCUAGAAAACAUAUGCUUUAAGAUGGUGUAUACAUGUUGCAAGAUUAUGACUAAAUUCAGUGAUGAAGGUUGAGAUUGGUAAAAGACAGUGGUAUCAGAAAAUGACUCCAAAGAUCUUAAAACUCCUUAGUGGAAAUUCUAAGAACAAUGAAUAGCCCAAUAACCCAUCAGAGCAACAGAGGUGGCUGUUUUUAAUGGCAUAUUGGUGAUAAGAUCAGAAAUAGGUGAUAAUCUAACUUAAAAGAGGUCUCAGUUUUAAGUCAACCUGGGCCCCUGUCUCAGAACUUCAGAAGCCACCUCUGGAGGUUCUCAACCCCCAGGUCUAUCCCUGCUUUUUUGUCAAUGUCUACAUAGCCUGAUGGCUUCCUGAUCCCCACGAGAGGAUAUCCUGGAGACUAUGUUUUGCUACUCUUAACCCUCAUCUGCCUACAUGUUAUAAAGAGCAGAGCAUACAACCAAACUUUGUUCAGCUGUGAUCCACAUGAAGGACAAAAAUCGAUGGAUAGAUCCAAGGAUAAGCACAAUUCACUAGCAAUACUAACAAGAUAAUCCUAACAAUAACAAAAAUUACUGCAUGCUCACUACAUGCCUGGUACUAUUCUAAGCAAUUGACGUAAUAACUCAGUUAAUCCUCACAAAAACCAUAUGAAGGAGGUGCUAUUAUUAUUUCUAUUUGACUCAUAAAGAAACUGAGCCAUGGUGAAAUUAAAUAACUUGCCCAAGGUCACAUAUUCAGGCAGAAAGUUUCCAGAUACUCCGCUCUUGACCACUAACUGUACCACUUGCCAAGGAACAUAAAUGUAACUGCAUCCUUGUCUCUCCUUAUAAUAAAUCACAACUAAAUGCAAAGAGAGUGAGAGGUAGCAUGAGAAUGAGAACUUUAAUUCACACAAAGAUAUUUUUAAAAAGGAAAUUGUCUUCAGAUGUUGGUACGGAGAAGCAUAGAUUAGUAUCAAAUAGCUUGAGAGACCACGUAUACCUGUGUAUCCCAGCUCUAUGGUCAAGUUCAAUGCAAGACAUAGAGCAGAAGUUGCCAGUGAGAGCCUGUAUGCAGGUUGUGAGUAUAGAUGUGCUGUUUAGCCCACAUGAUAUUUCCAAGUUUUUAAAAAAUGUGCUGCCAAAAUGUGAAAGUUAAAAUUUUUACAUAAAUAUCCACAUUUAAGACUUUUCUAAGAGAAUCAAGGUUGUCAAUGCUCCCUUAGGCAACACAUCGUGAGAGGUAAAAUGUGGGUUUGUCUUUUAUAUGGGGCAUAUGCUCUAGUUUGCCAUACUCACCACCAUUCCAUAUUGUCUUAUGCCUGGCAACUUCUCUCAUUUAUAUUUCCUACCAGGACAUCAUAAAACACUUGAGCAUGUGGACCCUGAUUUAGAAAAAAGGAGAAGUCAUAGAGGAAAGGGUCUGAACGAAGUGGUGAAAUAAAGGGAUUCUAGCUCUAGCUGUGUGACUGUAACACUACCUCAUACCCCAUACAUUCAUUCUUUAAAUGUGAGGUGAGGCUAGAUACUGUUUAAGAUUGGACAGGUUUUAAAACUCAGAUAGGGAAUUCAAGCAGGAAAUGUGAUGUCACAGCAGUGAGAAAUGAUGAGCUGGUCACUAUUUCAAAGGCCAUGUAGGACAGGCUUUUGCUGUGCACGGCAUGAGAAAGAGAAGAAACGGCCUGGGCAAGUUAGAUGGGACAUUUGCCCACCUUUGGGGCAUGAGAGGGAGUCCCCAGUGUUGCUUCUCACUGGUGUAGUUAGCAUACUCUUCAAAUAACAGAAAAUAACUCUUCGUUUCAUACUGCAACGUUCUAAGAUUCUCAAUUUCACCUUGGUAUUCAUAGGCGAAUGGUUUUUUGCUUAUUUACUCAAGUGUAUAUACACAAAUUCAUUAAUUCAUUCAAUAAAUGAGGACGGAGCUCUGGGAACUGUGCCGGGCACUAUGAUAUAAAUCUACAAGGUGAAAUAGUAGGUAAAUAGGAACUAAAGCACAUUUUUCCCAGAUGGCUGCCAUUGUGGGGAAGGUUACUUGCAGUACCUGAAGGUCACUGGUAGUUAGCCACGAAUGACUGAGGCCACCCUUCCCUGGGAUGCAUCCCCACUCUUCAGGGAAAUGACUGAUGCUUCACAAAAUACGGAGGGUGACAGAUUUUUAUGGGAAAAGAAGAGUCAGAACUUCAUGUUAAGAUCAAACAUAAGACAAAAUCUGGAAGACUGAAUAGAUUCAGGAAGCAGAAAAAGAAAAGCAAAAAUAGCAAUGCUACAAAAUCAUGGGGAAGGCUUAGAGCCUCCUUGAGCUGUGGAAGCUUCAGCUUAAACAUGAUCUCAUCAGAACACCAGGACCUCUCUAAUGGUUGACCUAAGGUACCAUUUUCUACCCAGGAUGUCUGGACUGUGCAGCCUACAUUCUGAUUCCAAUCUCUCAGUCCAAAACCAUGCAUGGAAAGGCCCUUCAGCCAAGUGUGCUUAAGAGACACAUCUGCUCCAUGCUCAGUCCCAUUCCACACACAGGAAGGCGCUCAUUUCCAUCCUACUUCAAGGGGUCCCUUUGAAUUUACAGCUCUGGGAGUACUAUGGGAAGGUACACACAGUCCUCAGAUGGAGGUAGAGAAAGGCCUUGUGGCUUGGGCCAGUGUUGUUCCCGCUACAUAGUCACUCCUGUGUGUUCUUAGAGUACACUGAGUGAAGAUUGCAUUGUCAGUCACCGGAGCUCCUGGCGCAGGCCAUGUGAAGUUACUAAUUAUGUGAGAGUGAGCACUGUGCCAAUAAAUGUUCUGACCCAGUGCUGCUUCUCUGGGCCAUUUUACCUCCUAAGCAGAUCUUAGGUGCCACCAAAUCCCUUCUUCCCAGAGUCACAAGCUUUCAGCUCCAUUCUCUGUGCUCUUCUUCCCAUACACUACCACUCAACUACGCACCCCCCCCCGCCCCCCCCCCCCAAUCCUAUUUCCUUUCUUUGGCUCACUAGGAAAUCAUCACUGCCUUAUUUAAAGCAGAAACUAAAUUCAGCAAGCAAAAAUUGUUUUCCAUUCCCUUCAGGACAGGGUGAGCUUGGUCUUUAAAUAAUAGAAUUCUUUAACUCCACUUCAUGGAAAUUAGAGGAAACAUUUACUUGCCAUCCUUCAGGAAGACACGUCAUUCUCAGAUGGGCUAUGUCACCUCUUCCAAAGUAGCAGCAACAACAACAAAAAGCCUUUCAUACUAAAACAAGUUGAACCUUUACCUACAAUUGCAUUUGUACAUGUAUGUAGCUUGCCCUCUGGCUAAGCUAAUUAAAUUAGAAGAAAGUGCUACUUUUUUUUAAGUUCUUUAUUUUGUUGGAGCCCGGUAAAAACUUCAAUAUGGACCAACAACAGCUUCCUUAUAAACUGGCCUGAGUUCACAGGCCUGGGAAUAAUCAUAGGGUCAAAGCAAUACCUUGAAUUCAGAUAAAUCUGAAUCCCAGUUCAGAUUUCAAUUUAGAUGCUUAACAGUUAGGUGUUCUUGGGCAACUUACUUAACUUCUAGAAACUUCCAAUUUCUAAUCUAGAGAAUGAGAGAUAAAGCCUCCUUACUCUGCACGGCCCUAGGCAAUACACCAAAGCUGAUAUAAGGACAAACACCCAGCACAGUGCCUGGCACAGAGUAGGGAAAGGGCACAAAAGUAAUAGUAAUGCCUUGGCAUGAUUAGACAGCAAUUAAAACAAGCAGAGAUGGCUCACAUUUACCACAUCCACAUUUAAUAGAGCGCCCAAAGAAAGACUGAGGCUUCAACUGUUGCCACAAACCAUGUUUAAAAAAAUAAUUUUUGGAGGAUAAAAUAAAACCAAAGAUAUAUCAAAAAAUUCACAAAAACUAAAUAAAUGGAGAGAUAUUCCACAUUCAUGGACAGGAAAACUCAAUAUCGUCAAGAUGUCAGUUCUUCCCAACUUGAUCUAUAGAUUCAAUGCAAUCUCAAUCAAAAUCCUAGCAAGUUAUUUUAUGGAUACUGACAAACCAAUUCUAAAGUUUGUAUGGAGAGGCAAAAGAUGCAGAAUAGCCAACAGAAUGUUGCAGGAGAGGAACAAAGUUGGCAGACUGACACCACUUCACUUCAAGACUUACAAUAAAGCAACAAUAAUCAAAACAGUGUCAUAUUGGUGAAAGAAUCAACAAAUAGAUCAAUGGAACAGAACAAAGAGCCCAGAAAUAUAUCCACAUAAACAUAGUCAAUUGAUCUUUGGAAAAGGAGUAAAGUAAAACAAUGGAGCAAGGAUAGUCUUUUCAAAAAAUGGUGCUGGAACAACUGGACAUUCACAUGAAAGAAAUGAAUUUAGACGCAGACCUUACACCCUUCACAAAAAUUAAUUCAUAAUGGAUCACAAAUCUAAAUGUAAAAUGCUAAACUAUAAAAUUCCUAGAAGACAACAUGGGAGAAAACCUAGAUGACCUUGGGUGUUGUGAUGGCUUUUUAGAUACAACAUCAAACACACGAUCCAUAAAAGAAAUAAUUGACAAGCUGGACUUCAAUUAAAAUUAAAAACUUCUGCUCUGCAAAAAGACUCUCAAGAGACUAAAAAGACAAGCCACAGACAGGGAGAAAAUAUUUGCAAAAGAUACAUUCGAUAAAUGACUGCUAUCAAAAAUUUACAAAAAGAAAAAAGGGGGUGCCGGCCCCAUGGCCAAGUGGUUAAGUUUGCGUGCUCCACUUCGGCGGCCCAGGGUUCGGAUCCUGGGGGUGGACAUGGCACCGCUCAUUAGGCCAUGAGAGGUGGCGUCCCACGUGCCACAGCUGGAAGGACCCACAACUAGAAUAUACAACUAUGUACUGGGGGGAUUUGGGGAGAAAAAAGAAGGGAAAAAAAAAGAAGAUUGGCAACAGUUGUUAGCUCAGAUGCCAAUCUUUAAAAAAAAAAAAGUACAAAGAAUUCUUAAAACUUAACAAUAAGAAAACAGGCAAACUGAUUAAAGAAUGGGCCAAAGACUUUAACAGAUAAUUCAUCAAAGAAGAUAUGUAGAUGGAAAAUCAGUAUGUGGAAAGAUGCUCCACAUCAUAUGUCAGCAGGGAGACACAAAUGAAAACAACUAUGAGAUACCACUGUCCAUCCAUUUGAAUGGACAAAAUCCAGAACACUGAUAACACUAAAUGCUGAGAAGAAUGUGAAGAAACAGGAACCCUCCUUCACUGCUGGUGGGAUAGCAACAUAGCACAGCCACUUUGCAAGACAAUUUGCUGGUUUCUUACAGAACUAAACAUGCUCUUAGCACACAAUCAAGCAGUUGUGCUCCUUGGUAUUUAUGCAAAGGAGUUGGAAACUUAUGUCCACACAAAAACCUGCACAUGGAUGUUUAUAGCAGCUUUAUUCACAACUGUCAAAACUUGGAAGCCACCAAAAUGUCCUUCAAUACAUGAAUGGAUAAACUGCGGUAUAGCUAGAUGAAGUGAGCUACGAAGAAGUAAGCUAUGAAGCCAUGAAAGGACAUGAAGGAAUUUCAAAUGGGGGCAGGAUAAGUAGGCAGGGGACAGAUGACUUUUAAGGAAGGGAAAAUACUCCAUAUGAUAUCAUAAUGAUGAUACAUGUCAUUAUACAUUUGUCUAAACACCAAGAGUAAACCAUAAUGUAAAGUACGGACUUUGGGUGAUAAUGCUGUGUCAGUGUGGGUUCAUCAAUCACAACAAACGCACCACUCUGGUGGGGGAUGUUGAUAAUCGGGGAGGCUGUACAUGUACAGGGACAGAGGGUAACUAGGAUAUCUUUGUGCCUUCCUCUCAAUUUUACUCUGAACCUAAACUGCUCUAAAAAAAUAAAGUCUUAAUAAAAACAAUUCAGUUAUUGAACAUAAUGGAUUCAUUUGGCCAGUCUAUAUUUGAUGUGGGGUCGGUGAGCUGAGGAGUCGAAAGAAAGAUUUCUUAGACUCUUAAGAUCUGGCAGUAGUGCUCUUUUAUUUAGAGAAUAGUAUAGAAUAGCAUGGGGACAGGACCCAUGGGCAGUCAGAGCUUCUGCUGCCGCUUCUGCUGCCCCUGCUGGCAUGGGGACAGGACCCACAGGCAGGCAGAGCCGCUGCUGCUGCCCCCGCUGGCAUGGGGACAGGACCCAUGGGCAGGCAGAGCUGGUGCAUGGGGACAAGACCCAUGGGCAGUCAGAGCUCCUGCUGCUGCCCUGAGUUGAGGGUUAGGGCUAAAUUUAAGGCAUAGGUAUGUGAGUCAUCUCUUUACGAAGACAAAGGAAAGAACACGAAAAAAAGUUAAAAUGGUAUCAGUGCAGGUGGGGUCUGGUCGUUGGGUGAUCCCAUGUCUUUUAGACAAGAAUCAAAUCGGAUUAAGUAAAGGUCAGAAGCCACCACCCUAAAUCAGUUACAUGAGAUUGCCAGACAGCAACCAACUUAAGUUCUUGCCUUCCCCAUUAAGAGUUUCUAGAGAUAAGGUCAUCUCUCUUCUUCUUCCUGGUACAGAGAGGGAGGCACCUUUUACAGAUAGAGAUUUACCUUACAAAUGUAAAUGUGUCCCAACAAGGGCAAGUUCCAUUCCCCAGAUCCUCCUUCCCUGUCCCAGUUUAUCAAAAGCAAUCAGCCCAAAACAAUCCCGAUGCCAAAGAGUCGUAUCUUGGGGUGGCCAAUUUCAGGUCCCUACAAGCUCAUCCCCCGCUUCCUUCACAAAUGCAAAUGUCUCUCAAAAGGGCAAGCAAAAUUCCAGUCCUCGGAGCCUGCUUCUCAUCUGUAGUUUUAAAAGUAACCAGCCUAAAAUCCUCAUCAUAUUGAGUAACUACUUUAUACUAGAUGAGGGCUAAGCACCGGGGUAUAAUGGCGAAAAAGGUUAGUUUCUGUUAUCGUGGAGCUAGGGAAGACAGAGGUAGAUAAACAAGUGCCAAUAUUAAAUUGUGGUAGUGCUCAGAAAAGAAAAGGAUGCUCUGGAAGCAUAUGCCUAACAAUGCCCCCGUUGGGAAAAGCAGCUUUCCUGGAGGCUGGGCUGAGAUCUGCAGUGCAAGGAGGAACUAGCAAGGGGGAGAAAAUGGAUAACAGCUACAGGUGUGGAGGUGAAAGCAAAUGAGCCCUUUCAAAGGAAGGAAAGAAGUCAGGGAAGUCAUAGAAUGCACGGAGGCCAGCAGGAGUGUUUGGGUGCUGAGCGCAGGUGGAGGCAGAGGGCCAGGCUCAGGAGAGAGGAGUUGUUUCCAAACGCAAUGGAAGGCUAUCCGAGAUUGCAGCAGAAGAGCAGCUUAUCUUUGGGUAGUGGGACCAUGGAAGACAUUUUCCCCCUAAAUUUUUUGAUUUUUUACAACUUCUAUAAUGAGCAAAUACUGUUAUGUAAUUUAAAAAAAUUUUUUAAAUAGUUCACUUUAAAAAGAAACAAAUACAUUAAACCAUACAUUACAUCAAAUAGGCAACUUUGGAGAGGAGGUCAGUGAUCAUCACCAAGAAAGCAAACCCACAAUUUAAAAAUGGGAAAGGGGUAAACAUAGCAUCUUUGGCUCAAUGGAUCCAAUCAAGAGAUUUAGCUCAGCUGAGAGGCAGACCAGGCUCUAGACCCUUCAAUAUGAAGUUCUCAGAGAGUAGUAUCUUGAAGAUGUCAGAGAAACAAGCCAGAAGGAAGCUUACGUGGAAAUCUCCUAGGUGGUUUUCAAACAUUUUUAAGAAAAACCUUUUUUUUUCUUUUUCAAAUGCAAUCUUAAACAUAAAAUAAGUAGAAGAUUACUUGCAGGUUGAACAGGAUGGGAAAUGCGAUAGGGAAACCCCCGUGUGAUGACUUGCUCCCUUUUAUUUGCUAAGGUUAAUCCCUCCCCGAGAACUCCAGGCCAGGGCUCCUCAGAACAGUUUGAAAUUUACCAACCCAGAUUUGGAAGAAACUGCAGCCCACAGAGGGGAAGCAGAAGCUUUUAGCACUGGAAAGGAUUUCCACAAGGAUGUGGAUUAGUACAGAGUGGGGGCAAGAACCCAGGCACGUGUUCUGCACUCAUUCAGGCUUCCUCCACCCACAAAUAAAUAAAUAAAUAAAUGCCAGAAAUUAAGGUGUUCAAGUCAAAGAACUGGCAUGCAGCCAGAGUAGGGCACAUCGACAUAGCCCUCCCUACCUCAGUUCCAAGGGCCCAGGCAAGUCUGCAGGAGGUCAUACCCCACCCUCCAAAGGAUCCUUCAGGCAGUUCUGUAUAUUAAUUUGGAUUCCAACUCAUUGAGCUUAAACAACAACAACACAACAACAACAAAAGGGGGUCUUAUUGACUCAUUUAAAAGGCAAGGCUAAGGUCAGUUGUUCCUGGCAUGGCUAGAUCUCAAAAGGACUUUCUCACCAUCUGGUGACUCAGCUUUCCUCUGGAUUGCUGUACAUUGAAGGCAGAUCCUCUCCACCAACAGGGCCACUGACAACUCAGGGUUUAAGUUUCUUGAUAUCUAAGCUCCUAAAGACAAGUGCAACUCUUACUUGAUAAUUCCAGCCAGAGUCCUCAGAAACACUUUGAUGGGCCUGAUUUAGGACAGGUGCACACACAGCCCUGAAACAAUCAUUAUGAUCGGGGAAGCGUGAUCUUUGGAUUGGCCCAGCCUGAGUCUUGAGCCUCAAAGUAGAAUCAUCCCUAUCUGGGAAUUAGGGGUCCGUGGUUUCUAAAUGGACGCUUGGGCUGCUGCUAAGGAAAGAGGCAGGAAUGCCUGGCCAGCAAAUGCAAGACAUAGCCUUGACAUUUCAUGUCUAUACCAGGUCAUUUCCUACUUGCAGAAAGUGAGACUAUUUAUGCAAAAGGACACUCUCAGAGAUACAGAUGAUACUACUUUUCUAUUCACUGUUGCGAAUAGUCAAAUAUUGCUUACAAUCCUAUUUGAAUCAAGCCCCAACACAACUAGAUUGUAUCAACUAGAACUGAAAUGAAAUGAAGUCAGCUGAAUUAAAAGAUUUCUAUGUUUUACCUGCAGUCAGAUGAGUCCCAAACCAUUUCUGAAAAUGAAAAUCCUAAGCCUGGUACUGGCAUUUAUUCCUUGUACCUACUACAGGUAACUAGAGAAAGAACGAGUAUUUGAAUGUGUAUUAUUAGAUUUAUUAUAUCCACCUUUAAGAUAAAAUAAAAGCAUUUAAAAGUUCCAAACAUGACAUGAAUUAUUUUAACACCAAAUUUUAAGAAUGUUUAUAAAGUCCACAGUCGAAAAUCUUGUACAUAUAUGUGUAUAUAUAUAAAUCAUCAUAGAAUUAAUGGGUGUUUUCUUUAAGGCAUACCAUCUUUUCAGAGCACAGAAAAAUACUUAGCAUCUGCCUUUGCCUUCCCUGGACCGUGGGCAUGGAGAAUAAGGUCAGAUGCAUGUUUCAGAGCUUAGACAUUUCAACUCUUCUACUCCUUGGGUUUCCAAAAUAGCUCUCAAGUUUCUUCAAAGGUUUAUUCACAAAACAGAGCUAAAACGUAAUGAGAAAAGGCUGAAAGAAAAGCUCUAACCCAAGGACAUCAGGUGGCGUGUGAGAAGCACUUUAAUGACAAAGCUGAAAUUGACAUCUGUUAGCACCUUUCAUAAUGCCCCCUGGAAAACGCACUGAAUCCAUUUAACUCUUGGCAUCCGACAAGAAGGGAUUCUCCAGGUCCAGCAACUAUUAGAUCCUGUAAGUGUAAGCCACAGAGUGGCUCUGAUGAGAUAAAAACAAAAGAAAAUGAGCCAAAAUGAAACUCACUUCUCUUCUCUUUGCUUGUCCUACCCUGAAGGGAAAGAUGACGAAAUCCGAAAUCCACACGGGCUAAAGUGCUACGCAAGCGAACCAUGGGUAAGGGCCUCGGGUCAAACCAGGACAGGAGACUGACAUCUGUUAAUGUUUGGGGAUAGUAACAUUCUCCAGGGACCUUUAGAAACAAUGCCAGCUUUGAAAUAGUGCUGGUCACUUCCCCCCUUCCCCCCCAUAUACACAUCAUCCUUCAAAGUUUAAUAAUGAGAACCAAACCUCAUGCCACACUUAACAUGGCAACAUAACCAUUCCAUGACUUUGCUAUGGAGAAUCUAUUUUUUUAAAGUAAAAAACUUUAUCAAGUCAGUAGAAUAUAGGUUAAAAAAUACACAUGGUAAGUAAAUUGAAGUAUUGGGUGGCCUGAGGCUUAAAAUUAUAUUUUCCCAAAACCAGUUUGGCAGAAUCUUUAUUCUCACUUGGAUUACUCCUUCUAUCCAGAGUAAUCCAAGUAAUGCAAAAGUGUGUAAACAUGUUUCUUUUACCCACAGUGAAAGAUGUCUGUGAGUACCUCUGCAGGGAGAAUGAACUCAGGGGCAAUACUGUGGAACACCAAGGAGACUUGUACCUUUAUCUCAAGUCUUCAAGUCUUGUUCUUUUAGCUCAUAUUUUUUGAGGGCCUAAUAUGUGCCAGACGUUAGGAAUACAGAGACGAGCAAAAGUUCCCCAGCGGGCGAGUCAGGGAGGUAAACACAUAAAUGAUUUCAGUCCGUGUGACUACUGAGAGCAAGACAUCAGCAAAGAGAGGGAAGCUAAUUUAGCCAGGCAAAGGGGACAUUAUUCGUGAAGGGUCACUGGGUAGGUAGCCUUUGACCUUUGAGAGUUAAGUAAGAAUUCACCAGGUGGAAAGUGGUGUUGAGUGGAGGGGACAGAACAAAGAGUGGGGAGUAUAUUCUAAACUAGAGAAGUCAGAUGGAUUUUAUCUCAAAUCCCAACACUAAUUGAUUGGGAGUGGCUGCUCAAAGCAUGGCAAUGAAAAAGACUGUGAAGCUAUGUGGCAGACGCUAUUGAAGUCCCACUCUAUAAUCCACCCCGUAAUCUACUCAAUCCACCCCGAGUACAUCUGUGGCCUCAGUGGACAGUUCUUUUACAUGCUGACAGCCUCUCAUUUUAACCACCUGUAGCUUUCUGCUUCUCUGAGAAUUUUCUCUGAUCCUUUCCUAUCCCAAGGGCAAGCCUGAAAGCAUUGAGGAUUUAAUAUCCCCAUGGGCAACCUUCAUCCAAUGAGGCAUGAGAGCUGGUGGGAAAAUAUAUAAGCUUCUCCAUGCCUUGGUGCCUCAGUUUUCAGGCACAUCUUAAACAAUCCUCAAUAUCUCUCCAAUGAGAUUGAGCCCAGUUGUCCACACUAACAUACCCUUUAUUGACUUUACCUUCUUCCUUGACUCAUUUUCCUCACUCCCUCGUUUAACUUCCUAGGAUUACCUUUCAAACAUUACGCAUUAGUUAUCUAUUGCUGCAGAACAAGUUAUCCACAAAGUCAUCAGCUUAAAACAACAAAAAUUUGUUUUCUCUUGUACUUUCUAUAGGUCAGGAAAUGAAGAGAAGUUUAGCUGUGUGGUUCUGGCUCAGGGCACCUCAUGAGGUUGGAGUCAGUUGAAGGCAUGACUGAGGCUGGAGGAUCCACUUCCAAGAUGGCUCACUCAGAUGACUGGCAAGGUGGUGCCAGCUGCUGGCAGGAAGCCUCACCAUGUCAAUUCUUCACAGAGUUGCUUGAAGGUCCUCACAACAUGGCAGCUGUCUUUCACCAGAGGAAGGAAUACGAGAAAGAGCAAGGAAGUGGUCACAAUGUCUUUUAUAACUUAACCUUAGAAGUCACACACUGUCACUUGUGCAUUAUUCUAUUGGUCAAACAGGCCAGCCUCAUGCAAUAUAGAAUAGAAAUACACAAGGGCAUGGAUGUACAAGGGAGGCUAGGUUCAUUGGGGAACAUCUUGGAGGCUGGCUACCACACUUUAUUUUCGAGUGUAACAGGAAAGUUUUGUUCUGUUCCAUUAGUGAUGUCUGCCUUGAAUGGGACGUGGGUGUGCUGUCGUGCAUUCAUGUGUACAUGCAUGCUAACGCUCCAUUACCCUAAAAUUCUUGUAUUUAAUCUCCAAAACUUUCAGAGAUUAACAAAGGUCUGAAAACGCACCCCCAUUUUAGAUGUAAUUGUCCCAAAAUUAAGCCAACCCCAAUUUCCUACUAAUUUGUUCUUCAUUUUGGUAUUCCUGUUGCUGAGCAGGUCUGGGACAAUACCUUUCCACUUCAUAUAGAGACAUUUUCAGAUCUUUCAGUUUAUGACAAUCCUAGACUACUUUGGUCACCAAUACGAGUUCAAAAUUAUAAAGACAUUGUUCUUUCUAAUUUGUAAUUUACAUGCAUUCUUUGGAAAAAACUAGUCACUGGGAAAAAGCAACAGAAAAUCUAAAUUAUCCUUCAAGAUUACCAUAUUCAUAUCCACAUGGGAAUUCCACAGUAUAAAUCAGAUUUAAACAAACAAGUUCUGCCUCCAGAUCCCUUAAAAUCUAUAAAUGAUAUCAGAUAAUUCAGUUUGCAGAUGACAGUUUAAAGCCUUCCUCUUUGUCCUCUUAUGACAAACCCAAGAUAAAUAUAUCUAAAGUAGAAUUAUUGUCAAAUGGACAAAGUGGUUCACCAGGAGAAACUUACACUUGAUCUACGUUUCAGCCUCUCCUUGAAAUAACUUGUCAAUCCGUAAAAUGAACAAUAUCCUUGGUUUGUUCCCAUGGAACACUUAAAGUGCAAUCUAAUUUCACAGUUACAUUUCCUCAGGUGUACAGCCUGAUAUCAAGAUCACAGAAGCAUGGAAAACUUAAGUUAGCAAACACAGAGCAAAAUACAAAUAUCUAAGCAUAUGAACACCUAAAAACUCUCAAAGUUAAAACUGUUGAAAUUUAUGUGCCCUCUCUUUUUAAUGAUGCAUCUGGUUAUUUCCAACAGCAAUUAAAAGCAUCCCAGCAGGAUAUUAUCCACUUAUAACAUAUGCUUGUGCAUCCAAGGGGCUGGGAAUAAAAUGUUAACAUUAGAACAUUAGAAUAAAAUGUGAGCAUUAAAUAAACAAAGAUAUUCACCUGGAAAGGAAUAGAGCCAACCAACAAGAAAUACAAUGGAACAGUUUAGGUUUAAAGUCACCUUCACUGCCAAAAGGCUCACUCUUUUGUUGGUUAUCAUCUUCUAUUAUGACACUUGGUAGAAGAGUCUGAGUUCUUUUUCAAGGAGACACCAAUCUCUUUUUUACCAUUCUCUAAAUUAGGGGGAAAAAAAUGCUUAAACUCUGAGAGGUAUAGGAGUUAUUUAGGAUGCCGGGAAGACAGAUUUUAAUUAAUUUAAUCACAGUGAAAUCUCACAAUCUAAAAUAAUUACCAGUACCUAGCCAACAAACUAUUAUCUGUUGAAGGUAAUCAGUAGAGGGAGCCAGACUGGACAGUUAACAAACUAACAAAAGCCUUUUUAUUGUUGUAGAUUGAGAGCAGAAUCAUCAGGCCUGGAUUAUUCUGCCUUAACUUCCCUUUCUCUUUUUCUCUGCCAACCCACGCUCAGCGUAAAAUGACCAAAGCAAUUUGGCUUUAUUUAUGGGUGAAUUCCAUCUCCAUAUGGUGUCUGUGAAGAAAUCCAUUUUGUUUAUCCAGUUCGUAACAGUGAUACGUGAUGAUUACAUUUUGUUUAAUAUAUGUUUGCUGUGUUGCGAAAUAGUUUGGCUCUCUUAAAAAUGGAAGUUAGAAACUACUGAGUUCUGCCGAGUCAUUCAUCCAGAGAAGACCAGAGAGCGUUAAUUGAGAACAGUUGUGGAAUGCUUUUAUCUUUUUUUAAUAACAGCUUAAUUGAGAUAGAAUUCACAUACUAUAUAAUUUAUCCUUUUAAAACAUACAAUUCAGUGUUUUUUGCGUAUUCACAAAGCUGUGCAACCAUCACUACUAUCUAAUUCCAGAACAUUUCAUCAUCCCCAAAAGAAUCCCCAUACCCUUUGAAAGUCAUUCCCCAACACCUCCUCCACCCAGCCCCUGCACUAAUCUAUUCUAUGUCUCUAUAAAUUUGCCUACGGACAAUUCAUAUAAAUGGAAUGCUACCGUAUGUGGCC